AGCACAUCCUGUGUCUUAAAAAUUUGGUUUAGUUGUUAACUGCUAUUAGCUGCUUAGCUGUUAAAUGCUUAAUUUCUUGCUAUGUUUUGUUUUUUGUAUGUUUUGAAGACUAUAUUUUCUUAUUGAAUGUCUUUUGAAAUAUCAUAUGAAAUAUAUGAAUAUUAUUCACACUAACUGUUGUUUAUAUUGUGAAUUAGUAUGUGUUUCUGCAGUUUCCACAGAGAAAAUGAAUCUACAUUUGGAAAGAGGUUUUUCAAACAUAAAUUUUGUUCUUCGCAUGCACGUAGCAUCACUAAUCUUAACAUUCUAGUUUUGUAUCACAUUUUUUGUUGUGCACAGAGCCAUGGUGGAGACUUGGCUGGAAGACCCAGGGGGACGACAAACUGAGAUGGAGCCAAUGGAAGUGGAGACUCAUGCAGAGCCGAAGAGCCAAUGAGACCACAUGAGACCGAUGGAUCAGGAGAUCAAAGCAGAACUGCAGCGAUGAGUGUCCGAGGUGGAGCCAGGUUGCCAAAGGACUGAGGUGAAGCCGAUGAGACUGAGGACAAAGGAAAAGCCAGAGGGAAGUCAGAGCCCGACAGAGCCGAAGGGGUGGAAGGACGAAGAACAGCUGAAGGCCCGGAAGUCCAUGGCUCAGGCGGAGUGACAUCUGACCAAGGUGGAGCUGGAGAGACGAUGGUCCCAGGUGGAGCCGAGGGAGGGAGGAGCCAAAAUGGAUCCGACUGGUCAACAAGCCGAGGAGGAGUGACGGGCUAGGUGGCUGAAGGUGGAGCCAGAGGAUUCUCUUGUCAAGACGGAGCUGGAGACCCGAAGACCCGAGGCAGAUCCAAGCAGCAGAGUGGAGACAGAGGAGGAGCGGAGGGACUGAAGGGAACCAGUGGAGGCGGGGCCGAGGAACUAGCUAUUUUAGAAAAAGGAGGUGGGAGAGGAAGGCUGGGUGAGAUCACUGGAGACACUGGAGCUUGGCAGGACCAGCAGAGACACAGGAGACUUGGAGCUGGACAGAACCAGCAAAGACACAGGGGACUUGGAGCUGGGUGGGACCAGCGGCAACAGGAAAUUUAGGGGAAUAUCAUGAUUUUCAUAUAUGAUCUAUUUUAAUUUUUUACUACUUUUUGUGCGCCAAAAAAACAAAAUAAUCACUUUUCAACAAUAUCUAGUGAUGGGUGAUUUCAAAACACUGCUUGGAAGCUUUACGAAACUCUUGUUUUGAAUCAGUGGUUCGGAUCACGUAUCAAACUGCCGAAGUCAUGUGAACUAUUGAAAUUGCGAAACACUUACGACUUAACAAAGCCUUGUUUACUGAAAUCACGUGACUUUAGCGUUAUUUUGUUUUUUUGGUGCACAAAAAGUAUUCUCGUUGCUUUAAAAUAUUAAGGUUGAACACAUGAACUGUUUUAAAUAUGUUUUUAGUACCUUUUUGGACAUCUGAAAGUGUUAAUUAUCUUGCUGGCAAUAGAGGCCUCACUGAGCCAUCGGAUUUCAUCAAAAAUAUCUUAAUUUGUGUUCCGAAGAUGAACGAAGGUCUUCCAGGUGUGGAACAACAUGAGGUGAAGAGGGCUGAAGCAGAUUGUGUCAGAGAGGAAGAGGAGUGAAGGAGAGAGACAGGAACUGAUGAGGUAACACAACUCAGUGUCAGCUCCAGAUAGAAUCAUCACCAGGAGGUGUGAAUUGAACCUCAGCCAGAGUGUCUGUCGAUCACUGAUAUACCACCACACAUUCGCUGUGUUUCUCUCCUCGCUUUAUUUUCUUUCUCACUAUCUCUCUCUCCACUAUCUCUUUCUCCUCACAGGCCUACCCGUCUCCCUCUCUCGUACCAUCUUCCCUCUUGCAUCUGUUGCGGUGCAGCAGGCCAGAUGUUGUCCUUGUCAAACUCAAUAUCAGAUUUCCGUAGUUUUCCGUUGCAACAGCUGAGCUAAGUGGGUUACUGCCCUUCCCCAUUAGUCUGAGUCUUAAUUGAUUUACCCAUAAUUCUUUCACCAAACAUCUCACUUAAUUUUCAUGCUCAAAUAAUCCAUAAGAGGGACAUGGGAAUAGGGAGAUGAGUUUAUCAAGCGUGAGACACUACGUCAAGCUCAGAGUUUCCUGGACAGUGGAGAGAAAAUGUUAAGUUAGAGGAUGUCAGAAUAAGUGAGUUAAGCAGGUGGAGACACUUCUAUGUUGAUUAGUGAGAUUAUUUGAAUAUGCUUGUAGUGAACUUUGAUUGGCUAGUAAAUUCUAAAACUGAACAUUAAAAUGUAAGUAUGUCAAUUUCAUUGUCAAAAAGUAGUGCAAAUAAUUAAUACUUUAUUGUCACAUUUUAAAGAAUUAUAUUUAAUAACCUUUUGUUAUGAUUUAAGAAGCACACUUAUUUUGAUGUGUUGACUAACAUUCUAAAGCACAUGUAAAGUGAUUUGAUAUUAUAUGUAAAGGUAAUAUAUUUUAAGGCAGAGGCUAAUAAGUGCAAAUAAGUGCAAAUAGCAAUAUUGUCAUGAUCCCAGCCUGUGUUCCCCUGUCGUGUGUGUGGACUUUUAUAUUAUUUCCUGUUUUACACCAUGUUUUGUAGUCCUCUGUAGUUUUUCAUGUCGAUUCGUCUCCCCAGGUGUUUCUUAUUUCCUUGUUAUCUUGUUAAGCCUGUUUCCCCUUGUGUAUAUAUACCCCAGUGUUUCUAAUGUUCUUUGUCUGGUGUUGUCCUUCCAUGGAUGUUACAUGUGUGCGCGCUUGUUGUCAGUUUUUCCCUUCAUGUCUGGAUUUAUCAGUUUUGCCUGGAUUUACUUUUAUUAUGUUUGUUUGAAUAAAUGUUUGCUGCAUCUGGAUCCUACUCUCGUUCCUCUGAAACAGCCACCGUUACAAAUGUGCUUUUAUGCAGAGAAAAUAGUACUGUAUACCCUUUAGACACUUUAUUUCCUCUUUUCAAAUAUUUUCUUCAUUUAUAUUUAAAAUAAACAAUACUCCGAGCUGAGUUAUAGGAAGAAUGAGUUCAGAAAAAGGUGGAUUCGAACACAUCAAAAGCUAACACCACCCACCUUACUCUCCACUUCUGCUGUCAUCAGAUGGGUUUCUUUUCUAAUUUUGUUUUGCUCAACCAGACAUUGGUGGGCAGAGUUAGUGUAAAUAGCCCCCGCCAACAAUGCGGGCUAUUUGCACUUGGUGUAAAAAUAGACAAUCUGAUAUAAGCUUCAAUAGAAAUUACAUUAAAGUAUAUAUGUUAGUUUGACAUAAAUGCUUGUCAGCACAUUCAACAGUACACUUUAACCAUAUUUUAAAUACAAUAGAAGUCAUUUUAAAAUUAAAUAGAGAUGCACAGAUGUUACAACCAAUAAAUCGGAAUCGAUUAUAAUCAGGGCCGAUUAUAGCAUGUCAAUCAAAAGGGGACGGAGAAAGACUCAUACUUUGUGUGGAGAAAAUCUAUCUUGUGUUGAAUUUAGGUUAAGUUAACACAUCAAUAACGCAUUAACAGUUAAAAAAACGACAUUAAAGUAGGCUCUAUAUGACCCUAUGAAUCACCUGUUGUUCAAGCCAGGGUUGCCAGGUCCGCAGUUUUUCACUACUUUAUUUUUUGCGUGUCUCCCAUCCAAUAAGCGCAAAGAGCUUUGUGCUUUGUUACUUGUGAUAAGAAACAAAGUCACAAAUUUCAAAUUCUGUACAUUUUAUCAUGAAACUCAAACAAAUGGCAUUUUGACGCUAUUAAAUUUGACAUGACAGAUCACUGUAGCGCCUCAAUUCAAGCGGCAGCACGGAGCGCAAGUCUUUUCUUUCACUUUAAUACAAGUUAUAGAUCGAAAAAAACAUGCAUGAACAUCAGAAGGUAUGUUGAAAAGUACAGUAGCGCUGGAGAGAGCUAAGCAGGAAGGCCUAAAAACAGAUGCAGAGGCUGCUUUGAUUCCUUAUCAUGUAAGUAACACUGGGUUUUGAUUGUCUGGAGCUGCUGUGCUGUUGGCGAUUAACAACAAACUCUUGUUUGUAUUUACUCAUGUGUACUGUACAUUCAUUUUUUGUGCUUCCUUGUCGUUCGUUCAUCAUCUGCGCUUUAUUUUUCGUGAAGCAUUUUGUUGUGCGUCAGCUGUGAUAAACAGACAGUGGCCAGAUAGUGAGAGUUUUGCAGUUAAACUACUGCACACUGACAACUACUAAAGAAUGUAGUGUUUAGCGGCAUUGGUAGUGCAUUCGCCUUGCAUGCAAGCAGCAAUUGGGCCGGGGUUCGAGACUGACUCGGAGCAGGGUGGUUAGGAUUGAAGUGUAAGUUUUGGUGGCGGAGCAAUGAAGAGAGGGGUGGGUUUGUUUGGGUUGAUUACAAAUAUCAACAGUGUUCAACAACGAAUUUGAGAAAUCGCAUACAGCACCUUUAAUCUGUUUUUCAACCACGGAUGUCAAUUAAUAAAGCACUUUAACAUUGCGUUUAUUUCAGGGAAGUUAUCCAAUGUUCACAGUUCGUUAGUUAGCUGUAAAUAAACACUAGAGAGGAGCUUAUUUACUGUUAAUGAUAUAAGUAUGUUUGAAUAAAUUUGCUAUGAAGACAAGUGUUUAUGAAAACUACCUUAUAUGCAACUGAGUUGCAUACAAAAAUUUCAAUUUUUAUUUGAGUGUAAUUAUUAUAUCUGUAAAUAAAUAUCAGUUGAAUAUAAUAGCUCUGAUGUUCAUUUUAACCACUAAUAUUAUAGUAAUGUACCAAAUGAGAGGGCUCCCUGUAUAGUUUGCAGCAUUAUUUUGAUUUUGAUCUCUAUUUUGACAUUAAUUAUUUGAUUUUCCUUAAGAAAAUCAAACUAUCAGUAUUGGUAUCAGAAGAUUGGUAUCAUUCUGAAUAAUCGGCUAUUGGUAUCGGCUGAGAAAUUUUGUAUUGUUGUAUCUCUAAAAUAUAAAGAUGUACUAAGUUCUACUUAAAUGGGUUAAAAAAAGCACUCUAAAGUUUGGCUAAUUGCAUUUAAUAUAAAUUUACACUGUAGUAUCUUUUAAUUUUAAUUAUUAUUUUUUUUAAUUGCAAUUAAGUCCACGAAGACAUUACAUUCAGUUUGCGCUUAAGUAUAUUCUUUUAAAGUAUAAUAUUUAGGUAAAAAAGUACCCUUUUUAAAAGUAUGCUAAAGUGUACUUCUUUUUCACAAGGGAAAGCAUGUUGCAGCAGACUUGAUGCGACCAAAUGUUGCCACAGUGGUUCUUGUAAGCUUUGGAAUCAAAGUUUAAAUAUGAGGAAGUGCUACAGAGAAUUGGGAACCAUGGAGGAGGGAAAUAACGGCUAAAAUUUAGGGCAUAGUGCUGCGACCAGCUGAUGCGGUCAGCUGUCAAAUCGCUCCAAUCACUACCAUUCUCCUAUUAGACACGGGACAUAUAUACGUGGCAUUACUGCCCGGUAAGUAUGCUCAAACUGCUCGCAACCCUCCCUCCCUCCCCAUUAUAAGCAUGAGCAUAUUACUGGGCACCUUCUGGUUGUCGUCUUUUUUGUUUCAGAUCACUAAGGCUUUUAAGUCCUGGCUGGCAUGGACCUCACGGCUGAGAGACACUCAUCCUCAUAACCAAGCUACAGUAUAGACGUCCCACUGCCACGUCCCACUGCCAUGUCAUGUUCGCUUUUAAGUGUCUUAACUGUCUAUGUAUUUUCAAGCUGAUGGUUCCGGGGGGUUAAUGUUAAAGCUCUUGUAUGUUUAAUUAAUUUUGGAGCAAGAGCCCCCAUAAGGAACCUAUACCGCCAAAGAUAAAUUGUGUUCAAUAAACUCAAGUAACUUGCCAAA